AACGAACGCUGGCGGCAGGCCUAACACAUGCAAGUCGAGCGCGCCCUUCGGGGUGAGCGGCGGACGGGUGAGUAACGCGUGGGAACGUGCCCUUUUCUACGGAAUAGCCUCGGGAAACUGAGAGUAAUACCGUAUACGCCCUUUGGGGGAAAGAUUUAUCGGAAAAGGAUCGGCCCGCGUUGGAUUAGGUAGUUGGUGGGGUAAUGGCCUACCAAGCCGACGAUCCAUAGCUGGUUUGAGAGGAUGAUCAGCCACACUGGGACUGAGACACGGCCCAGACUCCUACGGGAGGCAGCAGUGGGGAAUCUUAGACAAUGGGGGCAACCCUGAACUAGCCAUGCCGCGUGAGUGAUGAAGGCCUUAGGGUUGUAAAGCUCUUUCAGCUGGGAAGAUAAUGACGGUACCAGCAGAAGAAGCCCCGGCUAACUCCGUG
rnacentral:rRNA from 1 species